rnacentral:rRNA from 1 species
UUCCAGGGCCAGGCUAAUCCGCCCUGGGUAAGUCGGGACCUAAGGCGAGGCCGACAGGCGUAGUCGAUGGGUAACCAGUUGAUAUUCUGGUACCGGCUUGUCACCGUCCGUGUCGAGGUGUGUGAUGCUAAGCAUGUGAGCUUGUCUUGGGAGUGUUUUUGAUGCUUCUGGGG